rnacentral:piRNA from 1 species
UGCCAUGGGAUCAGUCCUCAGCAAGUGA